rnacentral:ncRNA from 3 species
CAAGACGAUCCGGUAGCGUAUUUUUUAUACCAGAUACAGGUCAUAAACCUUGAAAACUUGAGGUAAGACCUCAUUUAAUCUCCAGUAGCAUUAUGACCUUAAUGGGAGGAAUUAUGCGUCUGGAUCGUCUUAC